rnacentral:rRNA from 1 species
AGUAUAAGCAACUAUACGGUGAAACUGCGAAUGGCUCAUUAAAUCAGUUAUCGUUUAUUUGAUAGUACCUUACUACAUGGAUAACCGUGGUAAUUCUAGAGCUAAUACAUGCUAAAAACCCCGACUUCGGGAGGGGUGUAUUUAUUAGAUAAAAAACCAAUGCCCUUCGGGGCUCCGUGGUGAAUCAUAAUAACUUAACGAAUCGCAUGGCCUUGCGCCGGCGAUGGUUCAUUCAAAUUUCUGCCCUAUCAACUUUCGAUGGUAGGAUAGUGGCCUACCAUGGUCUCAACGGGUAACGGGGAAUUAGGGUUCGACUCCGGAGAGGGAGCCUGAGAAACGGCUACCACAUCCAAGGAAGGCAGCAGGCGCGCAAAUUACCCAAUCCCGACACGGGGAGGUAGUGACAAUAAAUACUGAUACAGGGCUCUUUUGGGUCUUGUAAUUGGAAUGAGUACAAUUUAAAUCCCUUAACGAGGAACAAUUGGAGGGCAAGUCUGGUGCCAGCAGCCGCGGUAAUUCCAGCUCCAAUAGCGUAUAUUAAAGUUGUUGCAGUUAAAAAGCUCGUAGUUGAACCUUGGGCCUGGCUGGCCGGUCCGCCUCACCGCGUGCACUGGUCCGGCCAGGCCUUUCCUUCUGGGGAGCCGCAUGGCCUUCACUGGCCGUGUCGGGGAACCAGGACUUUUACUUUGAAAAAAUUAGAGUGUUCAAAGCAGGCCUUUGCUCGGAUACAUUAGCAUGGAAUAAUAGAAUAGGACGCGCGGUUCUAUUUUGUUGGUUUCUAGGACCGCCGUAAUGAUUAAUAGGGACAGUCGGGGGCAUCCGUA